rnacentral:tRNA from 1 species
AUUUAAGUAGUUUAAAUAAAAAUUUUAAUGUGUGGAAUUAAAGAUAUAUAAGUUAAUAAAAAUUAUCUUAAAUA